GUUUCUGCCAGAGGAAAGAAGUAUCAGGUACAUUUUGUCUUCCUCCUUGUGACCGGUUGACAUUUUGAUUGACUCUGAGGAAGGUAGGCCGGUUACCAAUAAAAAAGGGUUUACAAAAUUAGAUACCACAGAGGAAGGGGGGACAGCUGACCAGAGCACAAAGGUUAACAUUUUGAUUGACUCUGAGGAAGGUAGGACAGUGUACCAGAGCACAAAGGUUAACAUUUUUACUAUGAGGAAUGUGGCAAUGGGUCAGCUAACCAAUCACAAAGGUCAAUUCGUAGACGACACUGAGGAAAAGCAGGGUGGCAAGACAUUACACGGAAUAGAGAAAAAAGCCUUGGAUUUUAAAAAGGUAACAACCUGUGCAUUGUUCCAUCACAUUACAUAUAGGAUUGUCCUUUAGAGGAGAGAUGCACACUCCUGAUAUUAGGUUAUAACUUUCAUAGGACUGAGUAAUUUUCUUUAAAUUCUUGAAAUGUAAAAGCUUCCUGUAACUAUAUCUAUAGAUAUAGAUAUAUAGAUAAUGUUAGACAACAAAAGCAGUUCUUACCCUCCGCAUCCCCACUCUGAGCUCGUACUAUGAGUGGGAGCAGAAUCCAGGUGACCCACAAGGGCAUCUUUCCCUCUCUCUCUUUCUUCAUUGUCAGUGUAGAUAUUCACCUGCUAAACGCUGAUGAGGUAUAGGCCUAUACUUUAUACUUUGAGCAGCCAGCUAUGAUGCUUGUUCAGUCUCCGGUUCGGCCUAUCACUCCGAAGCUCAGAGGAAGGAGGGGGAGGGGCCUAUUUUGAGAACAAAGGACGUUUUUUUCUUUGUCGUACAGGAUGUUCAAGUGAACUGAAAACACCUUGUAGACAACAAUUGGUAGGCGUGUGCUUGUGUGUAUUUUUUUAAGCCACAGCGAGUUAGAGCUCAGAGUAAAUACUUUAUAAAAAACGUAAGCAUGUAUUUUUUUUUAAGACUAGAAGUCCCCCUCCCCCACUAAUCAAUCAUUUAAGGCACUUAAUGAUGAAUAAUUAAAUAUUCCCUAAUUAUUCCAACAUCCCUGAUCCUAUUUGACCACUCUACACUAUCUUCAGUACUUGAAGGUCUGGGAUUAAUUUGGAGAAAAAAAACUCUAUUUACGGUCUAUCAAACAAUUAAGUGUAGCCUUGUGUCUCUGUAAGCAUAGAGUCCUUGAAUUGUAACAAUCGAGUUUAAGAAUAUCCACGUACGCCGCCGCAACUUACACACCACUUCCUGUCGACUGUUUGUUUAUCUUGAAAUCAGGCCACUGAGAGAAACUUCCCGAUGAAAACAAUACUUCAGCCUGCUGUUCGCAACACAAUGAAACUGCAAUCAUGUUGAAUACCAUGUCAUGUCAUGAUGAUACACUAUGACUGAGGUCCACUAUAGCUUUCAGUUACCUGUGAGCUGUGUAUCUUCUCAUCAUUCAAUGAGGACAUCCAUUUGUUUUUUCAAAGUAAAAUCGAUAAAUAAUUUGUAAAUAAAGAAAUGUGUGAUGAACUAUG